rnacentral:rRNA from 1 species
GAUGAACGCUGGCGGCGUGCCUAAUACAUGCAAGUCGAGCGAACAGACGAGGAGCUUGCUCCUCUGACGUUAGCGGCGGACGGGUGAGUAACACGUGGAUAACCUACCUAUAAGACUGGGAUAACUUCGGGAAACCGGAGCUAAUACCGGAUAACAUGUUGAACCGCAUGGUUCAACAGUGAAAUACGGUCUUGCUGUCACUUAUAGAUGGAUCCGCUCCGCAUUAGCUAGUUGGUAAGGUAACGGCUUACCAAGGCAACGAUGCGUAGCCGACCUGAGAGAGGGGACGGCCACAGUGGGACUGAGAUACGGCCCAGACUCCUACGCGAGGCAGCAGUGGGGAAGAUUGCACAAUGGGCGCAAGCCUGAUGCAGCGACGCCGCGUGGGGGAUGACGGACUUCGGGUUGUAAACUCCUUUCAGCCAUGACGAAGCCCUUGUGGUGACGGGAGAGGUAGAAGAAGCACCGGCGAACUACGUG